rnacentral:rRNA from 1 species
GUAGGGGCCAAACGUUUGUCCGGAUUUAUUGGGCGUAAAGGGCUCGUAGGCGGUUCAACAAGUCGGUCGUGAAAUGCCGGGGCUCAACCCCGGAACGCCGGUCGAAACUGUUGUGACUAGGGUCCGGUAGAGGUGAGUGGAAUUCUCGGUGUAGCGGUGGAAUGCGCAGAUAUCGAGAGGAACACCAGUUGCGAAGGCGGCUCACUGGGCCGGUACCGACGCUAAGGAGCGAAAGCAUGGGGAGCAAACAGGAUUAGAUACCCUGGUAGUCCAUGCCGUAAACUGUGAACACUAGGUGUGGCGGAUCUAUUGAUGUCUGCCGUACCGUAGCUAACGCGUUAAGUGUUCCGCCUGGGGAGUACGGCCGCAAGGCUA